rnacentral:rRNA from 1 species
AGAGUUUGAUCCUGGCUCAGAUUGAACGCUGGCGGCAUGCCUUACACAUGCAAGUCGAACGCGAAAGGGGGGCAACCUCCGAGUAGAGUGGCGAACGGGUGAGUAAUACAUCGGAACGUAUCCAGUAGCGGGGGAUAACCUCUCGAAAGAGAGGCUAAUACCGCAUACGACCUUCGGGUGAAAGCGUGGGACCGCAAGGCCACGCGCGAUUGGAUGAGCCGAUGUCGGAUUAGCUUGUUGGCGGGGUAAAGGCCCACCAAGGCGACGAUCCGUAGCUGGUCUGAGAGGAUGAUCAGCCACACUGGAACUGAGACACGGUCCAGACUCCUACGGGAGGCAGCAGUGGGGAAUAUUGGACAAUGGGCGCAAGCCUGAUCCAGCCAUGCCGCGUGUGUGAAGAAGGCCUUCGGGUUGUAAAGCACUUUUGUCCGGAAAGAAAAGCUCUCGGUUAAUAGUCGAGAGUCCUGACGGUACCGGAAGAAUAAGCACCGGCUAACUUCGUGCCAGCAGCCGCGGUAAUAC